rnacentral:lncRNA from 1 species
UACAAUUCACAACUGUCAUACAUGUCUUCCGUUCAAAUUAUAUUGGAUAUUUUUUUUUUCCAACGACUCAACCGAAGAUUAAGGGAUUGGGAUUAUCUCUUAUUGGCGACCCUAUACACUCCUGAUCCCGAAUUCUAAACUACCUUAUUUCUCCACGAUAACCACUCUUCAACCGCUGCACCACCGUCACACUCCGCCUUGACCGCCUCGCCGCACCAUUCACAUUCCGUUCAGCCCCAUUGACCUUUGUUCGCCGGAGUUUCGGUCGCCCUGCAUUCUUCGCCACAAACCAGUCACCACAACCGUUCUUGGCUAGUCGUAACCGGACGAUCGGGACUUUGAACCAGCAUCGCCUCUUGAUCUAUUCUACUCAUUCCGAUUUGUGGUGGUGUUUGAUUAUUGUGGGCGACUUGAUUAUUGGUUUUGCUUGUGUGCUAAUAAGUACCGAUCUGUUUUGCUUCCGUAUGCCUGCCUUACCUUUACUGUAAUUUGGGAAACGUGGGGAAUAAGUGAAGAGUGUUGUGAAGAUAAAGAUUUAUUUUUAUUUCGGUAAUGUAAUGAAAAUGUAAUUAGGAUCUUUUGUUUGCAACGUUAUGGAUUGGUUUAAUUUUGAUAUCUGUAUGAGUGACACGUCAGCCUGUUUCAGGUUGGGGUGUUACACAAUUAACACGUGUUAUAGUUUGAACUUCAGGACAUGCAUGUGUUACAUGUGACAUGAAACCCAUGUACAACGUAACACGUAUUAGUGCUAUGUAUUUUGUUUACUAGUAAUAUGUAAUGUGAGACUCUUCUUGUUUUCU